rnacentral:rRNA from 1 species
UACGUAGGGGGCAAGCGUUGUCCGGAUUUACUGGGCGUAAAGAGCGCGUAGGCGGAUGUUUAAGUGUGGCCUGAAAGCCCCCGGCUCAACCGGGGAUCCGGGUUGCAUACUGGACAUCUUGAGGGGGAUAGGGGAAGGUGGAAUUCCUGGUGUAGCGGUGAAAUGCGUAGAGAUCAGGAGGAACACCCGUGGCGAAGGCGGCCUUCUGGGUCUGCCCUGACGCUGAGGCGCGAAAGCGUGGGGAGCGAACGGGAUUAGAUACCCCGGUAGUCCACGCCGUAAACGAUGGUCACUAGGUGUGUGUGGUAUCGACCCCACACGUGCCGCAGCCAACGCAAUAAGUGACCCGCCUGGGGAGUACGGCCGCAAGGUUGAA